rnacentral:pre_miRNA from 1 species
UUAGUUCAGAUUUGUAUGGAGUUCGAGUGUUUGCCUACGUUUGCCGCUAGGGGCGCUGUUCCAACUGCAUACAAAUAACCGUA